GAUGAACGCUGGCGGCGUGCCUAAUACAUGCAAGUCGAGCGAACGGACGAGAAGCUUGCUUCUCUGACGUUAGCGGCGGACGGGUGAGUAACACGUGGAUAACCUACCUAUAAGACUGGGAUAACUUCGGGAAACCGGAGCUAAUACCGGAUAAUAUAUUGAACCGCAUGGUUCAAUAGUGAAAGACGGUCUUGCUGUCACUUAUAGAUGGAUCCGCGCUGCAUUAGCUAGUUGGUAAGGUAACGGCUUACCAAGGCAACGAUGCAUAGCCGACCUGAGAGGGUGAUCGGCCACACUGGAACUGAGACACGGUCCAGACUCCUACGGGAGGCAGCAGUAGGGAAUCUUCCGCAAAGGGCGAAAGCCUGACGGAGCAACGCCGCGUGAGUGAUGAAGGUCUUCGGAUCGUAAAACUCUGUUAUUAGGGAAGAACAAAUGUGUAAGUAACUGUGCACAUCUUGACGGUACCUAAUCAGAAAGCCACGGCUAACUACGUG
rnacentral:rRNA from 1 species